GCUUACAUAAUCUUUUUAACUCUGACUUUUUGUUUACUUUGCUCAUCAGUUUUCCAAAUUUUAGUGUAUUAACACGAGCCAAAUAAUAUUUAUCAAGGUAUAAUUUUCUGCUGUCGUUAAAAAAUGGACAUUCUAGCAGAUAAUGUAAUUCGUCCCCAAUACUACCAAUAUUACAAAGAUGACAUUUUCUAUCAUUUCUAUUAACAUUAUUCCACCUCCCUGUCUCUAUUGGGAGUCUGUGGUUUGUGGUUCUAUAUCUACAUAAAAUAAUACUUUCGUGCAUAUCCAAGAUAUCAAAAUAUUUUUCAAACUUCAAUUCUAACUUAAAAAUUCUAUAAUUUACUGCUUUUGUAGACUCUUGUAAUUGCGUAUUCCACAACUGUUUAUAAUGGUCUUGUAAUCGCAACUUAAGUGCAUUUUUUAACCAUAUAUCAUUACCAAAACAUUGAGAAAUCCAAAUAUUUGAAAAACCACAUUCAUCCAAAAUAUUUUUAACUUUACUCACAAAAAAUGUACAUACAUUAUUCACAGUAAAUAG
rnacentral:lncRNA from 1 species